ACGGCGUCUUGCCAGUUCGUAAAAGAUGCUGAAACACGCACACGCUAAUACCUUGUCGGACAAAAUAAUACUCUGAACAGCUUCUCUAAGCAAGCCAGCGCAGUUUCUUGGGAUGCAUUCGCCAGUGUGUUUUUUCGUGGCACUCGCUGCCGUUGUGAUGGCCCUGGUCGAAGAGGUGCGCAUGGUGCAAAAGAGACAGCUGCUGUACUGCGAGGGCGUUCGUUGCACCCGCCAGUGCGUUCGUGAACAUGGCGAGUGGUCGACAGGCUACUGCAAAGGCUCCCGCUGCUUCUGCACCGCUGACCGAGAGUGGCUUCGGAACCUAAGCCGUAGGAGCGUCCCGGAACCAUUACCACAAUUCGCUCUCACACACUGAAGAACAGAAAGAUAUGCGAUACUGCGAUCCACUUCCGAACAGACAAUUGUUGUGCAUGAACCAUUUAAAAAAAGAACACUUGUCCGUUCAUUCGUUAUUUAUGCUUCGUGAAAUAGAGGAAUACGUAAUCAAUUAGUUGUACCUGACGCUUUGGAAUAGCUGCUAGACAUACAACUGCACAACAGGAAGGACUCCUUCGCCUUUAUCGUUGUUUCACACAUCGUACCAUCCGACUUUACUAAUAUGAAUGUGGACAACUGGACGCGAAGGCAACCGCUAGAAGCGCUGACGCUGCAAUUUUUCUUGUGCCAAAAGUGAGACACAUCGCUUCGCCUCGGCGAUUCAAUCCAGCAAUUCAGGAGGUUUACUUUAUUUUGAUUUUUCCCAAACGAUGGCCCUUGUCAUUGAACUUUGCUGAUUAACGUACUAGAGAAGUACAAUAAAAAGGUGCUCGGGACAGUCUAAA